GCCACGGUAGCUCAAUUGGUAGAGCGUUGCACACGUAAUGCGAAGACGUGGGAUCGUUCCCCACCUGUGGCA